CCUUAGAGUUUGAUCCUGGCUCAGAACGAACGCUGGCGGCGCGUCUUAAGCAUGCAAGUCGAACGGCAAGAUUAGUGCUUGCACUAAUCCUAGAGUGGCGGACUGGUGAGUAACGCGUGGGUGACGUACCCUUCUGAUGGGGAUAGCUACUAGAAAUAGUAGAUAAUACCGAAUACGAUUCCGUAAGUUAGAGGUGCGGAAUGAAAGGAGCUUCGGCUCCGCGGAAGGAACGGCCCGCGUACCAUUAGCUAGUUGGUGUGGUAACGGCAUACCAAGGCGAUGAUGGUUACCCGGCCUAAGAGGGUGAUCGGGCACAUUGGGACUGAGAUACGGCCCAGACUCCUACGGGAGGCAGCAGCUAAGAAUAUUCCGCAAUGGAGGAAGCUCUGACGCAGUGACGCCGCGUAUAGGACGAAGGUCUUCGGAUUGUAAACUAUUGUCGUUAGGGAAGAAAAAGGACAGUACCUAAGGAGGAAGCUCCGGCUAACUACGUGCCAGCAGCCGCGGUAAUACGUAGGGAGCAAGCGUUAUCCGGAUUUAUUGGGUGUAAAGGGUGCGUAGACGGGAAUUUAAGUUAGUUGUGAAAUCCCUCGGCUCAACUGAGGAACUGCAACUAAAACUGGAUUUCUUGAGUGCUGGAGAGGAAAGCGGAAUUCCUAGUGUAGCGGUGAAAUGCGUAGAUAUUAGGAGGAACACCAGUGGCGAAGGCGGCUUUCUGGACAGUAACUGACGUUGAGGCACGAAAGUGUGGGGAGCAAACAGGAUUAGAUACCCUGGUAGUCCACACCGUAAACGAUGGAUACUAGGUGUAGGUAGGCGACUAUCUGUGCCGGCGCAAACGCAAUAAGUAUCCCACCUGGGGAGUACGGCCGCAAGGUUGAAACUCAAAGAAAUUGACGGGGGCCCGCACAAGCAGUGGAGUAUGUGGUUUAAUUCGACGCAACGCGAAGAACCUUACCAAGACUUGACAUACAAGGGAAUAUCAGGUAAUGCUGAUAGCUUUUCGGAGCUCUUGUACAGGUGAUGCACGGUUGUCGUCAGCUCGUGUCGUGAGAUGUUGGGUUAAGUCCCGCAACGAGCGCAACCCUCGUGACUAGUUGCUACUAUUAAAUUAGGGAACUCUAGUCAGACUGCCGUAGAUAAUACGGAGGAAGGUGAGGAUGACGUCAAAUCAUCAUGUCCCUUAUGUCUUGGGCUACACACGUACUACAAUGGCCAUAACAGAAAGAAGCGAAACAGCGAUGUGGAGCAAACCUAAGAAAAAUGGCCCUAGUUCGGAUUGGAGGCUGCAACUCGCCUGCAUGAAGUCGGAAUCGCUAGUAAUCACAGGUCAGCAUACUGUGGUGAAUACGUUCCCGGGCCUUGCACACACCGCCCGUCA
rnacentral:rRNA from 1 species